CCAAACUUUGACCUUGCACCCCCAACAACUCAUCCCCAGGAAACACUUCAUUGACUGGCCCACCUGGAAACAAGUAGUACACUUAAUUGUUAUUGAGGGACUUGGGAUGAGAUUCAGCACACGCUAAAGGGAUGCCAAUAGCAAGAAAGUGUAAGUGAGAGGUUUGUCUCCCGAGCUGGAUCCCACCCCUCCUUCCAGACUGAAGCCAAGAUCAGAGCUGGACUUGAUCAGAAUAACACGGACUCUGCUGCCUGUAGGGGGCAUACACACACAAAAUAUCAGCAUCAGAUUCCACAAGACACUCUGCUUUUUUUUACAAGUUUUUAUCUCACCUGUCUCCAAGUGACCUCCUUUCUGCUGUUACCGCUCUGAAGAACAACCACCGCCAUGACCUGCCC